rnacentral:rRNA from 1 species
AUGAUACCUGGGCCCCUGGUGGGGGGAGAUGUAAGAAAAAUUACCAAUUUGACCCUUAGUCCCAAUGUUAUAUUUGGUUAUUUACUAAAAUCUCCUUUUGGUGGAGAAGGGUGGAUUGUUAGUGUAGAUGAUUUAGAAGAUAUAAUUGGUGGGCAUGUAUGGUUGGGUUUUAUUUGUGUAUUUGGCGGAAUUUGGCAUAUUUUAACCAAACCCUUCGCAUGGGCUCGCCGUGCAUUUGUAUGGUCUGGAGAAGCUUACUUGUCUUAUAGUUUAGCUGCUUUAUCUGUCUUUGGUUUUAUCGCUCUAGAUAUCUAUUUCUAUAUAUUAGUAUUAGUUAGUAGUACUAUUAGUUACCGAUCCCGGCUCUGUGAGUUCUUUCUUCCGUGA